GAGCACAACUGCCAGCCCUGCUGUAUCCACCCAAUCUGGUCUCGGGAGCAGUGCAACGACUGACUCUGCUGAGGUGUCCAAGGAGUAGGACCAGUUGGGGACAAUUAUUGUUCCCAAACUAAGCCGAAAAAAAUGUCCGUGAAGAAGUCCAGUUAGUAAGUGUAUCUUUCCUGACUUAAUCCUUGCGAUUCUUUUGUUGAUUUGUUGUCCUCUGGCUCUUGACUUGCCGUGUAGCAAACCCGCCGACUUUGGAGUCGUGGGUCUGGGAGAUCCCCAGACCAACAAACCAGUCAAUGAUAUCCCCCAAGUACUGCCGGAUCCUCAGAUUACUGUGAUCCAAAUAGAUGCAGCAGUCGAGGAUUCUUCUGCUAACAAAGCAGGGGCUACUUCUGCGGGAGUGGAGAAAGAGAUCGCGGAGGAAAAGAUCUCCAUUGCCGAUGCUGAUGUAGAAUCGGAGGAUCUGUCAAAAGGUUCUGGGGCCGUCCCCAACGUCGACCAGUUGAUGCAGGAGAAGCUGCAAGAAGAAACAGAAAAGUCGACGGAGGGAGUAGCUUUUCUUGCAUCGGAAAUCUUGGAUAAUCAGAAUAUUUUGACUGAACUGGCCAAACAAGUCGUCGACCAAGCUUAGCGGCUUCAACUAGAUGGUGAGAGCUUGCGACUUUCGACUGAUCAGGAACAACAGCUCUAGAAGAUCGCAGCUCUUGAAAAAGCUUUCGAAGAGCUGAAGGCCGAGCACAAGCAGCAAGUCGAUCUCCUGCAGUCCAGAAUUGAUAUUCUGGGGAAAGAUAAAGCUGCCCUCGAAGAGAGGAGCAACAAGCUGCAGGAGAAAAACAAAAAUUUGGCCAAGGAGAAGAAAGAACUCAAAAGCUUGUUAGUAAAAAGAGAUAAACUGGUGAUUGAUCUGACGAAUAUUAUGUACCGUCACGCACAUGCUGUGGAGAAGCUGACAAAGAUCCAGGCUGAUUUCGACAAACAACUUCUCGCAAAUAUGAAGCAAAUCAAGGAUUUGGCCGCUGACCGGGACCUGAUGGCUAAACAAGUAAACGAUCUCGAGGCAGCAGCUCAAGCAGUUGUCGAGAUGGUUGAAGAAACGGUCCUGGUGACAAGACUGGUGGAAUGUCUCUGUGGAGCUCCCUAGAGGAUUUCCAACUUUCUUUCUGAUACAUUUAGGCAAUAUUUAGGUCAUGCCUUAGGAUUAGUGAAGUCUUUCUGGCCUGUAGGAAACUUGGCCCUUAUCGGUGAUGGGAUGGCAGAUGGCUAUUCAGAGGAGAAAUUCUCUAAAUAUGUUGAGGAAAUGAAACCUGUCGCCAAUAAGGUUAUCAUUGCUAUGGAGCAGCCCUCAAGUGGAGAGGCUUAAACACUUGCUAUGCUUGUAUGAUCUAUAUAUGAUGUUGAAGCAAAACAUGAUGUGAUGGUUGUAAGUAAAUUACUCGACUUAUCUUUGUAGUAGUUA